UUUGUUCCAUGUUAUUAAAACAAACUCUUUAUCUAUAAGGCAUAACGAAAAGGAAGUUAGUGGGGUGAAAUGACUUUAGAGAGUAAAUGCAUUUGAUUUCAGUUUCGUUUGGUCCCUUUAACUGUUUUUCAUGUUUAGAAUGAUUUAAAAUGAAAAAAACAAAAAAGAAACGAAAGAAAAAAAAUUGAAAUAAAAUUGUUUGCCAAAUAAUUUAUAGAAUAUGAACUGAUUAGAAAAGAUAGAUUCAUGUUGUAAGUUUGAUGUUUCAGGAAAAAACUAUAUAUCUAAAUUUUGAUUUUUUUUUCUUAGUUUUUUGGGAUUUAAGCAUGAGGCAAUUGCUUACCAAGCCGGAGAUCACUCAAUACAUAAGACAAAACUUCAGCGGGGUUCGAGCUAAUUUCCUUGCAAUGGAUGUAGGAAAUAACAUUGCUGGUUUGGCAGUCACAAACAUCCACGAUUACGAUCUUGAAAAACCUAUUAGCGUCUAAGCAGCCUGUAGAUAUGGACACAAUUUCGAACAUUCUUCGCUCAAAGGAAUAUCGUGUGUUGUUGCAAUUUCUUAUGAGAAAUUGGAAGAUUGGAGAAGAAUGCUUCAUUUGACGAAGGAAGUGAAGUCCAGGUUUAAGUACAAAUAAUUUCUUUUGAACAAUAUAGAUUGUUAAAACUAUUUUAUUCCUAUGCAGCGCUUAUACAACUUUCU